UUUUUUGACACAGGGUCUUAUGUGUUGCCCAGGCUAGUCUCGAACUCCUGGACUCAAGCAGCCCUCCCACUUCAGCCUCCCAAGUAGGUGGGAUUACAGGCACACACCACCAUGUCCAGCUCCACUUCUAAUUUUAGUUAUCUUGCUAUUAUCACCACAUGCUGCAAGCAACUUCUUCCAAACUCCCAUUUUGACCACGUCUCAUGAAUCACAAAUGUUCUUAAUGGCCUUUAGAAUGCUGAAUCCUUUCCAGAAAGUUUUCUAUGUUCUUUGCCCAGAUCCAUCUGAGGAAUCACUCUCUAUGGCAGCUAUAGCCUUACAAAAUGUAUUUCCUAAAAAAUAAGACUUGAAAUUCAAAAUGACUCCUUGAUCCAUGAGCUGCAGGAUGGAUGUUGUGUUAGCAGCAUGCAAACAGCAUUCAUCUUGUACAUCACCCACGGAGCUCAUGGAUGACCAGGUGCAUUGUCAGUGUUGUCAAUGAGCAGUAAUACUUUGAAAGGAAUCUUUUUCUGAACAGUAGGUCUCACGGGUAGGCUUAAAAUAGUAAACCAUACUGUAAACAGAUGUGCUGUCACCCAAACUUUUUCUGUUUUUAAAGCACAGGCAGAGUAGACUUAGCUCUCAGAUUUUCUUCAAAAUGUGAAUGAGCAUUGGCUUUAGUUUAAAGCCUCCAGCGGCAUUAGCCCCUAACAAGUCAGCCUAUCCUUUGAAACAAGACAUUGACUCCUCUUCAGCUAUGAAAGUGCUAGCUGGCAUCAUAUUCCAAUAUAAGGCUGUUUUGUUUGCAUUGAUCAUUUGCUGUUUAAUGUAGCCAUCUUCAUUAAUUAUCUUUGCUAGAUCAUCUAGAUGGCUUCUCCAUCAGCACUUGCUGUUCCAUCUUGCACUUUUUAUGUUGUGGGGAUGGCUUCUUCCCUUAUACCUCAUGAACCAAUCUCUGCUAGUUUCUACCUUUUCUUUUGCAGCUCCCUCGCCUCUCUCAGCCUUCAUAGAAUUGAGGAGAGUUAGGGUCUUGCUCUGGAUUAGGCUUUGGCUUACAGGAACGUUGUAUCUCAUUUGAUCUCGUAUCCAGAUCACUCAAACCUUCUCCCUAUCCGCCGCAAUAAGGCUGUUUCACUUUUUUGUGUGUGUUUAAUGGAGAAGCUCUUUUAAUUUCCUUCAGUAACUUUUCCUUUGCAUUCACAACUUGGCCAACUGUUUGGUGCAAGAGGCCUGGCAUUUGGCCCAUUUUGGCUUUUGAUGUACUUCCUCAUUUCCCGGCCAUUAUUUCUUUAGGGUUUUUUGUUUUGUUUUGUUUUCCCUUUUUCUCUCUUGUUGGGAUUCCUAUAUGCGUGCAUUGGUAUUUCUAAUGGUGUCCCAUGGGUCCCGUAGGUUCUGUUCUGUUCUUACUUGUGCUCCUCAGACUGGGUAAGUUCAACUGCCUUCUCUUCACCUUUGCUAAUUCUGCCUGCUCAAGUCUGCUGCCGAAUCCUUCCAGUGAAUGCUUUAAUUUCAGCUAUUGUGUUUUUCAGUUCCCGAGUUUCUAUUUGGUUCCUUGUUAUCAUUUCUAUCUCUGUUGACAUUUUCUGUUUGUUCAUACAACAGUUGAUGAACAUCUUUGACUAGUAAUUCUAAUAUCUGGGCUUCCCCAGUGACAGUUUCUGUCAUAUUCUUUUCUUCCCAUAAGUCAGCCAUAUUUUCCAUUUUAUUUGUGUGCUUUGUAAUUUUGUGUUGAGGACUGUACAGUUUGAAUAUGACACUGCAGUAGCUCUGGAAAUCAGAUUAUCCCUCUCCUCAGGGAUUGCUUCUGUUACUUGUUGAGGGCUGCAGUUCAUUUGUGUAGUGAAUUUUCCAAGUUAUUUUUGCGAAGUCUGUAUUCCUGAGGUUCUUGGUCUUUUUAUUGUCUCUGGUCAGCCUGUAACCUGACAGAAAUUUCCUUAAAUGUCUGGAUCUUUUCUUCUUUUUUUUGAGAUGGGGUCACACUCUGUCACCUAGGCUACAGUGCAGUGGCACGAUCAUAGCUCACUACAGCCUCUAACGCCUUGGCUCAAGGGAUCUUCUCGCCUCAGCCUCCGAGUAGCUAGGACUAUAGGAAUGCACCACCAUGCCCGGCUAAUUUAUUUAUUUUAUUUUUGUAGACACGCAGUCUCGCUGUGUUACCCAGGGUGGUCUUGAACUCGGGCUCUAAUGAUCCUCUCGCCUCAGCCUACCAAAGUGCUGGGAUUUCAGGCGUGCAUAACUGCGCCUGGCCCAAUAUCUAGAUCUUUUUUUUUAAAAGAAGUGUAUGUCUCUAAAUUUUCUGAUAGAUGGUAUUGGGGAAAUUGCUGCAGCCUGAGGGGGUCGAGACAAAGGCACGCAUCGACGCUGGUCCCUCAGGGCACCACCAUGUGACCAAAAUGCACAGGGUCCUCGCUGAGGACAGGCUGCAGCAGGUAGGUUGGCUGUCCAUCCACACCACCCUCUUAACCAGAAAGCUGCAGCCUCUGCAUCAUCAAGCCUUCCCCGGGUUGAGGAAGCAUCUGAUGAGGUGACAGAGUUAGAAAACAGUUGAUUCUGCUAAUUUGUUGUCCAGCUUAAUGGUGGUUUUGGUGGAAGAACCAAUUAAUCCCUGAAGCUUCCUGCCCUGCCGUUUUCUGUGACGUCACUGCUGUCUUAAAACUAUAAAUAUUAGUCAUAUUAAAAAAAAACUAUAGGCUGGGCGCAGUGGCUCACGUCUGUAAUCCUAGCACUAUGGGAGGCUGAGGCGGGCGGAUCACGAGGUCAGGAGAUUGAGACCCUCCUGGCUAACAUGGUGAAACCCUGUCUCUACUAAAAAUACAAAAAAUUAGCCGGGUGUAGUGGUGGGUGCCUGUAGUCCCAGCUACUCAGGAGGCUGAGACAGGAGAAUGGUGUGAACCUGGGAGGCGGAGCCUGCAGUGAGCUGAGAUUGCGCCACUGCACUCCAGCCUGGGUGACAGAGCGAGACUCCAUCUCAAAAAAAAAACAAAAACAAAAAACACAACUAUAGCUAAAUAACAGUCAUAUAAAAUAAAUUGUUUGCAGUACUUAUCAAAUUUCAGUUUAACUUUUGAAAGUCAUAGUAUUUAAGGUAACAAACUCAGCUAUUAAUACAUUUUAUGAUGCUUUAAAAAGCUCAAAGAAUUGAACAGCUAUUGGUGCUAAGUUAUAAUUGUGUUCUAUAAAAUAAAUGUGAUUCACUAUUCUUUGUAAUUGCUACCUCCUGGUAUGUAUAAGAUAAAGAAUUUGAAUUUUACCUAUUUUCUCACAUACUAAUUUGGUGACGUAUCCUUUUAACUGUUGGCAAAUGUUAUAGGCUCUCUUGGCCUGUUUUUUAUUCCAUUAUUUUAACAUCUUUUGCAGUUUUCUCACAUAAGAUUGAAAACUGAAUCUAUGUGAAAUAAGCAGGUGUCUAUCAGUAAUGAUAUUUAAAAUAUGUCGCAGCUGGAUUCCCUGUUUUGUAGGAGCAUCUGAAAUCAGCCAUAGCGGAACAGAUGGAAAUGCCCCAUUUGUCGGGGUCAAGAAGGAAAAGUUCUUACAUAGUUUUACACAUUUGGCUGGUGAUUGAUUUUGUGAAAAGAUAUGUUAAAAUUUGUUUGUUUUUUGAGACGGAGGCUCACUGUGUUGCCCUGGCUGGAGUGCAGUGGCGUGAUAUUGGCUCACUGCAACCUCUGCCUCUCGGACUCAAGCAAUCCUCCUGUCUCAGCCUACUGAGUAGCUGGGAUUACAGGCUCCCGCCACCACACCCAGCUAAUUUUUGUAUUUUUAGUAGAGAUGGGGUUUCACCAUGUUGGCCAGGCUGAUCUCAAACUCCUGACGUCAAGUGAUGCACCUGCUUCAGCUUCUAAAAGUGCUGGGAUUACAGGCUUGAGCCACAGCGCCCGGUCUGAAAAGAUAUGUUUAAAAAUUUUAUUUUAAAAAGGUGCUGCAAGACAAUUCUACUAAAUCUCUAAUCUUUAAACUUUUUUUUUAACCUCUUCACUGAGAUUAGGAAAAGAAUCUUGAUAUGACUCCUAGGUGAUAACUGUAUAAACAGACAACACCCCUACUCUUCAUCAUUCUAAUAAAGAGAUAGGAGUAUAUGCUUCAUUUGUUUAAAGUCCUUUAUUCAAACUCUCCUACUCCUAACAUCAGAGGACAUGUUACUCUACUUUUUCAUAAAAACAAACUUGUGUAGUUAUUAGAAAGCAUCUAUUCACGGCAUCAUUAACAAAUUAGGCAUUAUACAGAAGUGAAUUUUCCAGGCAACUGAAGUGCUGCCUUAAACACAAAACUUUUUAUCUUAACCUAUCUGAAGUGUAUUCCCUGUAUUUCUACCUUCUGAAGCAGAACAAUGAUAGCAUUCAUUUCUUGGGGAUCCCCAGGUGUUAACUCUAGUAAAUCUUUUAAGGAGGGCUUUGUUCCCCUUCGUACUGAUGAGGGUCUAGCACUGUUGUAUGGUGCAUUGAAGACUAGCAUUCAGACCCCAUCCUGUCUCCAUUCAUCAUGGUGAAAGUCAGGUAUUGCGCUGGAAGUUAAUGCAGUAAUACACUUAGAGAACAUGAGUUACCCCACGCUAAAUUAGACUCAAACUAAUGCGUUUUCACGUUUUCAUUUUUAAAUGGCUUUUCUGUCUCUCUGUCAGGCAUCAUGUAUGCCUCCCCUGUCUUGAGUUGGGGCUAAAAAAUCAAGUGACUGAACUUAAGGUAAUUAUUUUUAAAACAACUAAAAUGAAAGUAUUAAUAAAGUGCUGAGGUUUUUACAUUUAUUUUUCCUGCCAGAGCAAAAAAAAAAAAAAAAAAAAAAAAAACCAUUUACUUUUCUCAUUGAUCACUGUUAGAAUUUUUCUGGUUUCUGUAAGUGAAUGUCAAAAGGUUCAGACACUUGACUAAGCUGUAAUUCGGAUCAGCAGCAGUGUUAACACCAGUGUUUAGGCCUCUGAGAGUAAAAACAAUGUGUCGUACUGCCAAGUAUUGUUCCUGUUACUACCCAAUUCUUCAGUAUCUCAGGACACAGUUUAUCCUAAAAAGGUGUCCUGUUUGCUAACUACAGUGGCUGUGUUAUCGUUAAAGGAAAUACUGGGAAGUGUUACGGUCACCAGCUUCAAGUCACUGUCAUCUACCAAUGAGAUAGGGGCUACCAAGUAAAAUGUAGCCCAGGGCCACAUUCACAGAUGGAAGUGUUCAGUUAAGCAAAAGUAAAGUUACAUACUAAAAGCCCACAUGAAGAAGGAUUUGGAGAUAUUUCUUCUUGCUUUGCUUUGGCUGUAAAGUUCUGUACAUGUAUCAAACAGAGCAUUUCAACAGGCUGGCUAAUGUGUAGGAAGCUAGCUUUUCUUUGUGAUAUAAUUUGUCAUGUAAAAUCAUAAGCUAUUUUACAAGUGUAUUUCAUUCACUAUCUUAAAAUUCAUAUGGUUUUAUUUAAAGAUAAUUUCAUCAAACAGCUGAAUUCUAAAAUCCUACCUUUUUUUCAAAAUCAUUUUUCAGAACUUUGCAAUAACAGGAAGUAAAGAAUCAGAAGGGUGUUAAAAAAUUGAUUUGGGGGGAAAAACAUUUGGACAUUUUGCUGGCUAGGUUUACGAAAUAUACACAUCCAGCAAACAUGUGAGUCCCUUUAGGGUACAGUGCAGUGAAGGGAGAAGUGGAAAUACUCAAGGUUCUGGGGAAGGUCAAAUGAAGGGUCCCUCACAUUGGCUGAGGCCAACCUGGCUUCAGAGGUGUGCAGAGGCACCAGGCCGAGAACAGGGCUUUGCAGUGGUGAGGGCAAAACAUGAACACAAGAAAUACCCUAAGUUACUGUACCUGGUUGUGCCUGGUGACAGAUGGGACCAGCUCUUUUCUCCAUUUGGUAAUUUUGGAAAAUUUGGCAGAGUUAAUAAAGAAAUCCCCUUGGUGCAAGAUUGCUACAAUAAGAAUCUAUUAUAGAUGGCAGAUGUGAAGUUCACAGUCCUUUUUAUUAUCCUAACCUAGUAACAUGACUAGAGGUAAAAUUAAAUAUUGAGUUAGAUGAUUGUUUAAUAUUUUAAAACCAGAGGGAAGACAUACAAAUAGAUUGAGGGCAGUUUCUUUCUAAAGAUAAUCAGAAUAUAUCUCCUAUAUUUUAAACACUGCAGGAACAGUCAAAACUUUAAAAUAAAUGGUUUCCACAUUUUUUUAUCCCCAUCUCUCCCCCUGACUAUAUGGUAAAAUAUUUUAUUUGGCAACCACGUUUUCCUACUUUUAAUCACACACAUCAUCAGAGCUUUUCAUCAGCCUAACUAGUCUUCCUGCUCACUGAGUUGUGACGAAAGCCUGGUCUAGGCACUUUUACCACGGCCAUGUUUUUGUUAAGAUCCCUGCAGACUGUGAACUAUGAAAACCAGCCCCUGGCCCCGCUUGUGGGUGCUGCAGAGCCGCGUGUGAACUGCUCCUAGGAAACCGCGUCUCUGGGCAGGGUGGCUCUCGGGCCGUGGAUCCCCCUAAAAGCUUUUCUGCCAGUGACGCCCUUGGUCUCUGGAUGUGUUCACGCCUCAGUGAUUUUACUCUCUGGUUUCUUGUGUGUGCUUGAGAUUCUUGAGAGAAAGCGUGCUGCAGAUGAAAAAUGCAGCCUACAUGAAAAAGAGAAGGGGAAAGCCAUUUUAAAAUAACUUCCAUGUAAGUUACUGUAAUCAAAGUGCUGCUGCCUGUGUGUUCAUAAAAAAAUAUGUGCAAGGGCCUGGAGCGGUGGCUCAUGCCUGUAAUCCCAGCACUUUGGGAGGCCGAGGUGGGCGGAUCACUUGAGGUCAGGAGUUAGAGACCAUCCUGGCCAACAAGGUGAAACCCCGUCUCUACUUUAAAAAUACAAAAAAAUUAGCCAGGUGUGGUGGCGCGUGCCUGUAGGUCCCAGCUACUCAGGAGGCUGAGGCAGAGGCUGCAGUGAGCCGAGACCGCGCCACUGCACUCCAGUCUGGGCGACAGAGCGAGACUGUCUCCAAAAAAAUAAUUCAAAUGCGAACCCGGCUCUCAUGGCGCCCCGGCCACGGAGAGCCUGGGGGAGUGGGAUAAAAACGGCGCUGGGAUGGGAGGGCGGCUUGUCCGCGAACUCCUCCCACCACGCGCGGACCAAAGCCGCCGGCGCCCCGCUUCCGGGGCCGCCCUUAACCGCGGCCGCCGCUCCCUGAGGGGCCGCCUGACCCGGCGGAAAGCCAGGCUGUGUGGCCGGAGGUCACCACCCCGACCCCGACUAGUCCCGCAGCGCCUGACCCCUUCGUGGGCGGCCCCGACCGCCGCGGCUCGAGGAGGGGCGGGGCUGGGGCGGCCGAGCUCUCGCGAGGUUUCGUCGGGGGCUGGCGGCCGCGGCUCGGCGGAGAGUGCGGGAUGCGCUCGGAAAAGGAGGGGGCCGGAGGCCUUAGGGCGGCCGUUGCCGCGCGGGGCCCGAGCGGGAGGGAGAAGCUGUCGGCCCUAGAAGUGCAGUUCCACCGCGACUCGCAGCAGCAGGAGGCUGAGACGGCGCCAACCUCGUCCUCCGGUUGCGGGGGCGGUGCGGGCAAACCUCGCGAGGAGAAGAGGACGGCCCUGAGCAAGGUGGUCAUCCGCCGCCUGCCUCCGGGCCUCACCAAGGAGCAGCUGGAGGAGCAGCUGCGCCCGCUGCCAGCACACGACUACUUCGAGUUCUUCGCCGCCGACCUGAGUCUUUAUCCUCAUCUCUACUCAAGAGCAUACAUUAAUUUUAGGAAUCCUGAUGACAUCCUUCUUUUUAGAGAUCGUUUUGAUGGAUAUAUCUUCCUUGACAGCAAAGGCCUAGAAUAUCCUGCAGUGGUAGAGUUUGCUCCAUUCCAGAAGAUAGCCAAAAAGAAGCUGAGAAAAAAAGAUGCCAAGACUGGAAGCAUCGAAGAUGAUCCAGAAUAUAAGAAGUUUUUAGAAACCUACUGGGUGGAGGAAGAGAAGACCAGUGCCAACCCUGAGACUCUGCUGGGGGAGAUGGAGGCGAAGACAAGAGAGCUCAUUGCUAGAAGAACCACACCUCUUUUGGAAUAUAUUAAAAAUAGAAAAUUAGAAAAGCAGAGAAUUCGAGAAGAGAAGCGAGAAGAACGGAGGAGGAGAGAGUUAGAAAAGAAACGUUUGCGGGAAGAGGAAAAAAGAAGAAGAAGAGAAGAAGAAAGAUGCAGAAAAAAAGAGACAGAUAAACAGAAGAAAAUUGCAGAGAAAGAAGUGAGGAUUAAGGUCACACAGCGGCAGUGAUAAAGAGCACAGGGAUGUGGAGAGAUCUCAAGAACAAGAAUCUGAAGCACAAAGACACCAUGUGGAUGACGGCAGGAGGCACAGAGCUCACCACGGGCCUGAACGGCUUUCCAGAAGGAGUGAGGAUGAGCAGAGAUGGGGGAAAGGACCUGGCCAAGACAGAGGGAAGAAGGGGAGCCAGGACAGCGGGGCUCCAGGGGAGGCCAUGGAGAGACUGGGAAGAGCGCAGAGGUGUGACGACAGUCCAGCACCCAGAAAAGAGCGACUGGCAAACAAGGACCGGCCAGCCUUGCAGCUGUAUGAUCCAGGAGCUCGCUUCCGAGCGCGAGAGUGUGGCGGAAACAGGAGGAUCUGCAAGGCAGAAGGUUCGGGGACUGGUCCUGAGAAGAGGGAAGAGGCAGAGUGAGUCACUGCAUGCACCUGGCCUCCAUGGACGAGCGAGGGCAUCCCAGAAACGUGUAAAUGACCCCGAGUGUGACUGGGAAGGAGAACUUACUCCUUACCAGGAAACUGGAAGCUAAAAAUACAGAGGGUGACGUAGAAACACGCAGAAACCAUUCUAAAGAAAGUAGUGAUCUUGUAUUAAACUGAGCAGAAUUCUCACAGAUUUUACCAUUCCUGUUAUAAACUAGUAUUUGUUGUUUAGCCAAAACAGAAAAUGAUUUCCACUGGACAGUAGAAAAAUAUGUGUAAAAUAGGGAAGAAAGUUAGUAUUGGAUCAGUGUGAGUCCUGAAGCACUUUCAGUGCUGUGAGAACGACAUCCACUUUGGGUUUCAUUCAUUUGUAAGCAGAGGAGCUGUCAGUCACUCCUGCUUCUCGGUGGCCUCUGAGCCAUGGUGUCGAGUGAAGAGUAGUUCUUGUUCGUUACAACCUUUGUGAGUCAGCCAUGCCUGCAAAGCGUGCUGUGUUUUAGUCCUGGUAGGAAUAUUUAUCAGAGUUCACACUAUAUAAAACCCACCAGCUUCAACUAUUGCCCUUUCAACAGUUUUGCCGCUGACCGGAUAAAAACGGUUUCAGUCUUUGGAUGGAUGUGUUUGUGGUUUGUAACCAUUACGGUUUAAACCAUGGUUUAAGAAUUUGCCCAAAUAACAGAAAUUUUGUUUGGGAAGGGAUAAACUAGAUAUAGCAUAUAGAGCCUGUUUUUGAGUUUUAGAUACUUUAUUUGUAAAUAACUUAAAAUAGCUUUCUGAAACCGUGCAUUCUGUAGUUUCUUCCUUUCAGUGAAAUUGCUAAAUGUCAAUGUAUUUUUGGCACUGCGAUUUUAACCAUUUAUUAAAUUAAAAUUUUGUUAAAGAA